rfam:Bacillus subtilis subsp. subtilis str. 168 complete genome.
GUAUCAUUUUGAAUUAUGAUUUUUCAAUUCCUUUUAUCCCGGGCAAGAAAAAAAGUCAAAGCCAAGAGAUGCCUGACUUUGACUUUCUAAUCAUUGAAUCAGAUUAUGAAAUGUGUUCUUUUCGGUCAGCUCCGGAAGCGGGGCUGACACUAAAAAGAACU